CGCAUGCAUGUGACUCCUGGCUCUGAGAGGAGGGACUCAGCUCCGUUAGGCAUUCGUUUAGACUGGCUCCCAUGAUAUGCACCUAUCAUGCUAUACACUGUUGGAAAGAGAAUCAUUUGAUUAAAUUCACCUCACUCCGGCAGAGCUCAUGUCGGUGGAAAGAGGACAGGAGAAGCUUUAUUUUGUUAAGAUAUGACCGGCCAAAGCUUG